GUGAAGUGUGAAGAGGAUGACUUUGGAAAGGUGCCUUCGUAGUGCCCUGAAAUGGGAACACAAAGAGGGUGAGAGCCCCGUAUGGUCGGUCGCCGAGCCUCUGUAAAGCUCCUUCGACGAGUCGAGUAGUUUGGGAAUGCUGCUCAAAAUGGGAGGUAAACCCCUUCUAAAGCUAAAUAUUGGCCAGAGACCGAUAGCGCACAAGUAGAGUGAUCGAAAGAUGAAAAGCACUUUGAAAAGAGAGUUAAACAGCACGUGAAAUUGUUGAAAGGGAAGCGCUUGCGACCAGACUUGUGCUCGUCGAAUCAGCCGUCGCUCGUCGGCGGCGCAUUUCGGCGGGCUCAGGCCAGCAUCAGUUCGCUGUAGGGGGAGAAAGGCGGUAGGAAUGUGGCUCUUCGGAGUGUUAUAGCCUGCCGUGUAAUACCCCUCGGCGGACUGAGGACCGCGCAUCUGCAAGGAUGCUGGCGUAAUGGUUGUCAGCGACCCGUCUUGAAACACGGACCAAGGAGUCGUCCUAAUAUGCGAGUGUUCGGGUGUAAAACCCCUACGCGUAAUGAAAGUGAACGGAGGUG
rnacentral:rRNA from 1 species